rnacentral:lncRNA from 1 species
AAAAGAAGGUAUCGCGCAUCACGAGAAGAAAAGAGGAGGGGAUAGCUACAUGGAAAUUCCAAUAUAACAACAACACUAAUCGAGAGAAAUUGGGGAAAAACGUCGGUAACGACGGAAUUCUAUCGGUUUAUUUUCUUUACUAUGUUGUUUAUUCUUUUUAAUCAUGUAUAGCUAAUUCCCUUUGAUUGAGCCAUGAUGAACCUAUUGUAAUAUAUGAAUCAAUGGUUGAAACUCUCUGUUCAUUGCUUUUCA